rnacentral:rRNA from 1 species
UACGAACUGUGCGAACGUUAUUCGGAAUCACUGGGCUUACAGGGUGCGUAGGCGGCUCAACAAGUCAGGUGUGAAAGCCCCCGGCUCAACCGGGGAACUGCGCUUGAAACUGUUAGGCUCGAGUCAGCUAGAGGUACACGGAACUUCCAGUGGAGCGGUGAAAUGUGUUGAUAUUGGAAGGAACACCGGAGGCGAAAGCGGUGUACUGGGGCUGGUCUGACGCUGAGGAGCGAAAGCGUGGGGAGCAAACAGG